rnacentral:rRNA from 1 species
AUGGCUUCCGGCUCGAUGGUGUCCGUCUUUCAGCCCUCGGCAUGGAGUGAAUUCUUUUCGAGAUACGAGCGGAAGCCACCCAAGAGGUCAGGGGAGUGGAUGAAGAUUAGAAUCGGUAAACUGAAGGAAGAUGUUCAGAUGUUGUUUAAGAAUUGCAGUAAUAGUUUAGAGAGAAUGAACUUGGUGGAUGCAGUCCAACGCCUAGGAAUAGAACACCUCUUUGAAAUACAGAUAGAGACUGCACUAAGUGACAUACAUGAAAAUGAACCCAGUAGCUCCAACCUCCACGAGGUAGCUCUUCGGUUCCGCCUUCUCAGGGAACAUGGCCUUUGGGUAUCUCCAGAUGUAUUCAAAAAAUUUAAGGGCGAAGAUGGAACCUUCAAUGAGUAUAUAACAAAUGAUCCAAAGGGACUCCUAUGUCUCUACAAUGCAUCAUACGUGUUAACCCAUGGCGAGCCAGAACUGGAAGAGGCCACCUCUUUUGCAAGGCAUCAUCUAAAAUCAAUGGCACCCAGCCUUAGAUCCCCUUUAGCAGAGCAAGUCAAGCGUGCCCUUCAUGUACCACUACCAAGGACCUAUAGGAGGCUGGAGGCGCUGAGCUACAUGCCAGAAUACGAACAAGAAGCAGAGCACAAUCCAAUCCUUCUAGAGCUUGCAAAGCUGGAAUUUAACCUCCUCCAGGCUGUCCACUUGAAGGAGCUCAAAGCUAUUUCUGAGUGGUAUAGUGAUCUUAAGGGAUACGUGGGGCUAAGUUUUGCUCGGGAUCGUGUGGUGGAGUGCUACCUUUGGGGGUACUUUUUGUUCUACGAGGAAGAGCACGCGCUCCCACGGAUGAUCUUUGCCAAGUUAUUUUUUCUGCACAUACUGUUGGAUGACACCAAUGAUGUUGGUGCCACCUUGGAGGAGUAUGGGAAGCUCGAUGCAGCCAUACAAAGAUGGGAGGAGAGCGCUGUUUCUCUUGUUCCAGGAUAUCUCAAGAAGUUCUAUAAUAAACUGCUAAUCUGCUUUAAGGAGUUCGAUGAUGAAUUGAGACUCAACGGGAGAUACUCGAUUGAUCACAUCAAGAAGGAGUUUCAGCAGUUAUCUAGUUGUUAUCUCCAAGAAGCUGAAUGGUUGCACAAAAAUCACAAGCCCAGGUUUGAAGAUAGAUUGCAUUUGGGUGCCAUGUCCAUAGGCGCGAUAGAGCUAUGUGUGUAUGCGAUGGUUUGCAUGGGUGAUGAAAUGCCGGAGGGAGCACUGGAGUGGGUACUUGGAUACCCUGAUGUCGUCAUGGCAUGCGCCAGGAUUGGGCGCCUAAUGAAUGACCUUGCUGCUUCAUCCAAACCCCGGAACAACAGGGACGUGGCCAACUGCAUGGAGUGCUACGCUAGUGAGCACAAGGUCACAGAGGAGGUCGCCUUUGCUGCCAUCGACUCGAUGAUAGAAGAUGAGUGGAAGACCACCAACCAAGCUCGAUUCAAACAUGGUCAUGAUCUGCUGCCUGCGGUGCAACGGGUCAUCAACUUCACUCUCAGCGGGCCGGUGUACUAUGGUGAUAGGAAAGAUGCUUUCACCUUCAGCUCGCAUCUUGAAGACAUCAUCAAGAGCCUCUUUGUCAAUCCCAUUCCCAUCUAG